UCCACGACUCUCCACUGGAGGCGCAGUUGUCGUCGAGCGCGCUUCGACGGCAACUUCGCGCCGGUGACGGCUAUCGAUAGGUCGCGCGUGCGCGCAUCGAGCAGCGGAGGCGCGCAUAACGUCACCGACAGGCGAAGCGAUUGGUCGGAGCCCCCGUAGGAUCUUCGAGGAACAAUUCGACUGUGGCUCGAACAAAAGGGUUUUCUCUCAACGGAAAAAUAAAGGAUGCAGCUACGGAUUCCAUCUUGGCCUCAUGCUGUGAUGAACAACGGUAUGUUUAUUCGAGUGAGGUGCCGGAAUCCGGUGAGCAAAACAUCGAAAUUCUCUCGUUUUAUAAAAUGUCUAUAUGUAUGAUGUAUUACGCUCUGCGUUUUUACACAUAUAAAACAUCAACGAAAAACACGGAUUUCGGAUAUCAAAUAUAAUAUGUGCAGCAUAUUUGCGCAUUAUUUUCUUGUGUGGUUAGGCGCAUUUUAUUGUGCCUCAUAAGCAAAGCAAUAAUAUGAAUACACUUUAUUUAACAUA